UUCCUAGGCUACCGUCAAAUUCCGCUCUUCACGGAACCAUUCGUCACCUAUAAAAGAAGUUUACAAUCCGAAGACCUUCAUCCUUCACGCGGCGUUGCUGGAUCAGGGUUUCCCCCAUUGUCCAAAAUUCCCC
rnacentral:rRNA from 1 species